rnacentral:lncRNA from 1 species
AGCGAUUUUCCAGAUAACAGAAAGCCCCAGAGGAGCGCACCUAUAAUGGGAACCCACUGAUGUCGGCGAUUAGAACGUCGAGGAAACCAGACUCAGGGUGAGAGGUUUUCCACACGCCACACGCGCCUGCAAGGAAUCUCCAACUUUAAUGUAAUUAGAUUCCAUAUUUUCCGUUCAAAUUUGUAUCAUUGAAAUUGGUCUUAAUCACGACACAAAAUUACAAACCUGUCCUCACUUAAUUAUCGAUACCCUUAUCUUCUCAUCUUCUUUUCAAUUAGAAACACAUUGCAGCUUGCCCUAUGAACUUUGAGUUCAUGAACCUCAAUCAGCUAAUGACAGUGGAAGUAUGAGUUUAUACAAUUCAAAAGCAACCAUGAAUCUGAAGCAUGAGUUUACAGACAGUUAAAAAACAACCAUGUUCGAUCCAGAUCAGAAACAUAAGAAAUAUGAACUCCACAACACAAAGAAACUGCGUUGGGUUUUUAUUAUCUUCAUCUUUUCUCUUCCUCGCCAUUGCUGCAAAAAAGAAACAUAUGUGAAACUUGACAAAAAAUUUCCACGUACAAGGAGACUUGCAGCCAAUUUGAAAUAUUCAUAACCCCAGAAUCACAGUGCAACUCAUUGUGGAAUUUGAUUUGUAAUGAGAAAGAGAGCUUCCAACUGAAAUCGAAAACCGUAAACUAGAAAAAGAAACUGAAAUCGAAAACCCUAAACAAGAAUUCCAAACUGAAAUCAAAACCCAGCCGAUGCCGUGUCGAGUUCUCUGUUACCGAAGGAAGAAGUCUGACGAACGAGAUGACACAAGCUGGAAAAAAUGAGACCAACGAGCUACAAGGAAGAGGUCCGACGAGCACUACUGUUCAUUUCCUUGAUAGAUGAUUGAGGUCCGACCAGCCAAGUUCUUCCGAGUCGAUAAUUUUGCUCGGAGUUCUCGACCACGGUUGCUGGGUUCUCGAUGGUGAUGGACGAUUCAUUGAUUCACAGUUUUUGGGGCCUGGGAGUAUCGAUAGAUUGGUCAACCAGCAUCGACGGAGCUGGAUCUAAUGUUGGUGGCGCUGGGCAAAGAGGGAGGGAAGAAGGAAACUGGAAAAGAAGAGGAGCUGAAGUCGGUGAUUUUAUUGGGCAGAUUUAUUUUUGAGAGGCUGCAAAUGAAUGGGAUUUGGUAAAG